GGGGCUGUAGCUCAGUGGUAGAGUGCCUGCUUUGCAAGUGUGAGGCACUAGGUUCCAUCCUCAGCACCA
rnacentral:tRNA from 1 species